GCGCGGUUGGCGUAGUGGUCAACGCGUUCGCUCUUCAAACAGCACUUCGAAUACCUACGGUGUUCGUUGUCGGGCUGGGGCCCUUGCCACCUGACAGUGAGAGUUCCCGGGUUCGAAUCCCGGACCGCGCA
rfam:Sordaria macrospora k-hell, WGS project CABT02000000 data, contig: 2.4